UGAAAUUUUCAGACUUUAUUAGCGCUAAAACUAUCUGCCUUCGAAGUCUACCUAAACGUGUCAUACGUAGUUGAUUAGCACGAAAGCGAAAGCCUCGAAAGCGGCAUGGGUUAAGGAUACGUCGCUUCAAAAGGAAUCUCAUCAAAAUAUCUACAGACUCUGAUCGACAUUCUGCUGGCCCAGUGGAUCCACCCCGAUGCCUUUAUCAAGUGUCUACCCAACAACGCAUGCUACUCGCAAAUCUGUUCGCUCGAAAGAUUGUGUUGAUGUAAAUUAAUAAUUACAUUGGCCGCUGUUGAUGCACUUGGGGGGGGGGGGAUUUUUUAUAAGGACAAACUUUUUCGAGAAUCGUUAAAAUUCCAAAGAUAUUCAGAGAUGUUCAAACAGAUCUAUUGAGAUAAUUUUGUAUGCUACACUAGAUUAGCCGCGUAGUAGUGACGUACAUAUAUGAGUAUGAGUGUGUGGGAGUAUGUGCGUGCACAGCGUCUCGUAAAACAGAAGAAUGCAA
rnacentral:misc_RNA from 1 species